rnacentral:lncRNA from 1 species
UAACAGCCGCAGCAACAACAUAACCCUAACUCUCUUCUUACCCCUUUGCCUCCAAUCCUCUGAACCCUCAGCAGCGCCUUUUGAUCUCCUUUUCCCUUCCUCUUCGUUCUUCUGCUCCGCGCCUCCACCAUUUCUGCCGGCCUGCCGUUGGACAACACCAACCCUGACUCCCGUCCCGCGGCGCUGUUCUCUCCUUCUCCCUUCCUCGUAGCACCGCUCUCUCUCCGUCGUCCUCCCUGGCACGGCUCCACGCAACACGUCGUCGUCCUCUCCCAGCAGCACGCCAUCGUUCUCCACGGAUCCACGAAGGCCGCAGCAACACGCCGUCGUCCUCGUAGCGCCUCUCUCUCCGUCGUCCUCCCUGCCCUCAUCCAGUCUGUCUGUAUCAGCAAAUCAUCAAGAAUGGAGCCUGAGUCAGGUUGGUUCUUCUACUUCUGAUCCGGCCUCUUGCUAUUUUUUGCUUUUUGAUUUUCUGUGUUCUAUUGAUUUUUUUACUUCUUGAUUUACUGUUCUCUCUUUUAAUUUUUGCUGGCUGCUGCUAAGAUUAUCUUUUUUUUUAAUUUGUUAAUUAUUAAUUUUAAUUUGUUAAUUAAUCCUUAUUAUUUCUACUGCUACUGUUAACUGUUAUGGUUUAUUGUAGGUUCAUAUUUGUUCACUAGUUUGAAAUUGAUAUGAAGCAAAUCAUGAAUAGGGGGUUCUUGCUACAGGAGUGGUAAGUGGCGAGUUAGACUAAUGAAUCUGUUUAAUGCUUCUUUUUAAAUUGUGAAGUAAGGGGAAAUGAUUGCGAUUUAAAGAAAAAAUGAAUACUUAGCUGAAAAUAGUUAUGUUAAUGAGAAGGAAUUUUGAAUUUACCAAUUAUGGAGAUUUUCAGUGAUUACAAUUUGUGCUAGUUUUAGAAUAUUAUGGCUGAGGAAGAUUGAUGCUAUUGAAACUUGGUUGAUUAACAGAGUAAUUGGAGAAAUCUACUUUACUAAUGCUUUAAUUGUGAGAUGCAGGUCAGAAGUUUUGUUUUUACAAAGGGUCUGCCAGCAUUGCAUAGUAGCAGAUAUAAAAUUCAUCAACAAAGCCACUCCAUUUCUGAGGUUAGUUAAUUUAUGCACACUGCUAUACUGCUCUGAAUCCCAUUUCUUAUAGUUUUAAAGCUAUAUCAUAUUUCACUUUCUUUACAUAGAAGCUUCUACAUUGCAGAACAGAAUUAAAAAAAAUCUGUUUGAGUUGCUACAUUAUUUAUAAAUUUCACUGUUAGGAUAUCCAUAACUGUAGAUGUUCUCCAGAGAAGCUUAAACUAGUUCGAUGAUUUAUUGUUAUUCUAUUUUUGGUUUUGAUUCACGGUUGUGUUGAUAUUUAAUGUUGUAUCUUAAUAUCUUUGCAGUUUGGUCAUAAUAUGAGGGAUAAUAUUGGUGAAAGUGAAGGUGGAACUAGUGGAAUGGUGGACAUGUAAUGCUCCUCCAAACAAAUCUGCAAAUAUAAGAUCACCAACAAAUUGAUUGAUUGAAUCAUUUUUUUCACUAAUCUAGUUUUUUUUUUAUAAAUAUUAUUUGUUAUGAUUGUUCCUUGUUUUAUAGAAGUUGUAUCCACUCCUAUCCUUUUUUAUAUGUUUUAUAUGAUUCUUCCUUCUUUUUUUUAAUUUUGUAUCAUUAUGAAUUUAUGAUGAGCUAUGUGCUCAUAUUGUUCAUUGUUUUUGUCUGAAUUAAUUAAAAAAACCGAACAAACCGAACCAAACCAAACCGAUUUUAAUUGGUUUGGUUUGGUUCGGAUGGUCUUGGC